ACACUAAUACACAAAUAUGUAAUACUAAUUUUGAGAAUCAACACUUUCAAUUCACUGAUACUAACACUAAAUUUGAAUCACACGAGAGAUUCUUUCACAGGUAACAUAGACCUUCCGAGUAUUUAUAAACAUGCGUAUCGAGAUUCACAAAACGUUCAUUAAAAUAUAUUUUCUAUACCACUAUAGCAGAGAUCAUUUUUUUAAGCUAUUCCAUACACAUUUCAUAUUAUUUGUUUGUCCUUCCGUUUUCGUUCAAUUUUACUGCGCAUAUAAAACGAAUAAACGAUUACGAAUCGAUUGGUCAACUGUAAGUAUACCAACGGCCCGUAAAGCGUGUAAUAAAUUGAAUAUGGAAUAUCGAGUAAAAAUCAUCAUACAUAAAAAUAAAUUCUUCGCUAAACGAAUUCUCUGUAAAGAGAAUAUGCAUUUAUCUAUCGUUAAAGAGUUCGCGUUGUAAAUUCAAAUCGCUAUUUUUUAUCAGAGACUAAAGUACAAAUACACUAACGAAAACUAACGAAGAACCGUGUGAUGAAUUGAAUGAACCGAACACGUAAAAAUUGAUGAAACCUUGGCCAAACGGAUUUUUCUCUGUUCGAAUAACGAUAGGUGAAACUAUCUUUUGAUAAGGUGAUUGUAUAGUAGAUUUAAGAAUUCAGAUUUUGAUUAUAUGUGAAUUAUAAAUAUACUGACGAAGGCUCGCCUACUAUGUUGGAAUAAAUUGUACGCGUGCUGGUUAGAGAAACGUUCACUACACGGGCUUUCUGUACAAAGAUCAUGAAGCUACUGACUGGCGAACACUGUGCGGUACAGUUAGGCUGUCGUUCGUCCUCAUCAUGUUGUAAAUAUACUGAUGAAGACAGCGAUGGUGAAUAGAUUGGGAAACGUGUCAGUAUAGUUAACAGAAAACGGUUUCUCAAAAUGAGUAUUCAAUUAUUACGUCAUGAAACUCUCAAGGCCAUCGUUAAAUCAUCUUUAAUUGCUGAUAUUUG
rnacentral:misc_RNA from 1 species